UUCCACCUUAAAUUGUACAACAAUUGCCUUCCCGUUCCACCUUAAGUGGUGCCGGAAUUGCAUUCUGGAGCCUCGAAUUUUCCUGUUGCACCUGAAGUAGUGCAGCAGGGGCGCCUCGAAUUGUUCCGUUCCACCUUAAAGGGUGUAGCGGUUUCAUUCUGGCGCCUCAGAAGUUUCCUGCUCCACCUUAAUUAAUGUCGCAGUUCAAUUCAGGCGCCUGGCAUGUUCCCGUUCCACCUUAAGUGGUGCCGGAAUUGCAAUCUGGAGCCUUGAAUUUUCCCGUUCCACCUUAAAUGAUGCAGCAGUCACAUUCUGGCGCCUCGGAUUGUCCCGUUCCACCUUAAAUGGCGCAGUAAUUACAUUUUGGUGCCUCGGACGUUCCCCGUUACUGCUGCACCAUUUAAGGUGGACCGGGUAAAUUCGAGCAGGAAACAAACCCAAAGCUCCGUUGGAGAAAAGCCGUGUGGCUGUUUUGAGAAGUAAAACUGAUUCAGUUUCUCGCGCAUUCAGAUCUCGGGAAGGAGUUAAAGAACUGAUCAAUGGUUUUCUGCUGAAAUGAGCCCGAGUGGCUGAAUGUAAAGGCGAGCUCUGAGCUGUUUAGCCCUUUUUAAAUCUCUCUCCAGCUGCUUUAACUAAACCUCUGAAGGCCAUCAGGACUAACUGGUGCCAUCUGAGGAGAGAAGCCCAGCACCUGAGUUAGCUUAGUGCUCAGAGAAGGAGUUCAGAUCUAAUCUGUCGUGUUUUUUAGCUCCAUUUCGUUCAACUAUAUAAAAAAAGGCCUGAAGGAAUCUCAGCAUGCAUGAAUCCUGCAGGAAUUCCAGCUACUCCAGGAAUUCCUUCAAAAAUUGGAGCUCUGAAGAAGAAUCCUGCAGAAGAAUUACACUCAGGACACAGAGAGUGAUGACAGCACCUCCAAAGGCAGUGACAUCACUGAGAAAGGUUCUCAGAAAAAAGGUCGGCCUUCUGGCCACAACGUAGGACCUAAAAGGACCUCAUUUCACGUGAUUAACUUCAGUAAACCUGGACGUAAUCUUCAACCGUGCCCCACACGCACUCUAUUGUUUCUUAUUUCAUGCGAGAGCUCGUCUGUUACUCGAUGUACCUCUGUCCCUGGGGAUUUAGGGGUUUAUUUGUCUAUUUAUUUUUCUGUAUCAGGGACAAUGAAUGUGACUUGAUGGCCCAACUGGCAAUUUUCAGAUGCGGUCUCUAGGCCAUGCUAUCGGCCAUAAAUGCUUCCAAAAAGCAAAA